rnacentral:rRNA from 1 species
AUACGGGGGGGACAAGCGUUGUUCGGAUUCACUGGGCGUAAAGGGCGCGUAGGCGGGCUUUCAAGUCGGGUGUGAAACCUGCCGGCUUAACCGGCAGCCUGCAUCCGAUACUGUCGGUCUUGAGUACGGAAGAGGAGAGCGGAAUUCCAGGUGUAGCGGUGAAAUGCGUAGAUAUCUGGAAGAACACCAGUAGCGAAGGCGGCUCUCUGGUCCGAUACUGACGCUCAAGCGCGAAGGCUAGGGGAGCAAACAGGAUUAGAUACCCUGGUAGUCCUAGCGGUAAACGAUGGGCACUAGGUGUCGGGGGUAUCGACCCCCUCGGUGCCGAAGCUAACGCAUUAAGUGCCCCGCCUGGAGAGUACGGCCGCAAGGUUGAA